GACGAACGCUGGCGGCGUGCUUAACACGUGCAAGUCGAACGGAAAGGCCCUGCUUUUGUGGGGCGCUCGAGUGGCGAACGGGUGAGUAACACGUGAGUAACCCGCCCCUGACUUAGGGAUAAAUUCAGGAAACUGGGGCUAAUACCGGAUAGGAUCUCCUGCUGCAUGGGGGUGGUUGGAAAGUUUCGGCGGUGGUGGAUGGACUCGAGGCUUAUCAGCUUGUUGGUGGGGUAGUGGCUUACCAAGGCUUUGACGGGUAGCCGGCCUGGGAGGGUAACCGGCCACAUUGGGACUGAGGUACGGCCCAGACUCCUACGGGCGGCAGCGGUGGGAAAUCUUACGCAGUGGGCGGACGCCUGAUGCGGAAACCCCGCGUGCGGAAUGACGGCCUUCGGGUUGUAAACCGCUUUCGCCUGUGACGAGGCGUGAGUGACGGUAAUGGGUAAAGAAGCACCGGCUAACUACGUG
rnacentral:rRNA from 1 species